GCUCAACCGGGGAGGGUCAUUGGAAACUGGGGAACUUGAGUGCAGAAGAGGAGAGUGGAAUUCCACGUGUAGCGGUGAAAUGCGUAGAGAUGUGGAGGAACACCAGUGGCGAAGGCGACUCUCUGGUCUGUAACUGACGCUGAGGCGCGAAAGCGUGGGGAGCGAACAGGAUUAGAUACCCUGGUAGUCCACGCCGUAAACGAUGAGUGCUAAGUGUUAGAGGGUUUCCGCCCUUUAGUGCUGCAGCAAACGCAUUAAGCACUCCGCCUGGGGAGUACGGUCGCAAGACUGAAACUCAAAGGAAUUGACGGGGGCCCGCACAAGCGGUGGAGCAUGUGGUUUAAUUCGAAGCAACGCGAAGAACCUUACCAGGUCUUGACAUCCUCUGACAACCCUAGAGAUAGGGCUUCCCCUUCGGGGGCAGAGUGACAGGUGGUGCAUGGUUGUCGUCAGCUCGUGUCGUGAGAUGUUGGGUUAAGUCCCGCAACGAGCGCAACCCUUGAUCUUAGUUGCCAGCAUUCAGUUGGGCACUCUAAGGUGACUGCCGGUGACAAACCGGAGGAAGGUGGGGUUGACGUCAAAUCAUCAUGCCCCUUAUGACCUGGGCUACACACGUGCUACAAUGGACAGAACAAAG
rnacentral:rRNA from 1 species